rnacentral:rRNA from 1 species
AGUUGAGCGAGCUUUUUGGUAGUUACUACUAGAAAUGACUGAGCGGCGAACGGGUGAGUAACGCGUGAGCAAUCUACCUUAGUUACUGGGAUAGCCCGAGGAAACUCGGAUUAAUACCGGAUAUUCUUAUUUUUUCACAUGAAGUUUUAAGGAAAGGUCAGCCGAACUAAGAUGAGCUCGCGUUCUAUCAGCUAGUUGGUGGGGUAAAAGCCUACCAAGGCUACGACGGAUAGCUGGUCUGAGAGGACGAUCAGCCACACUGGGACUGAGACACGGCCCAGACUCCUACGGGAGGCUGCAGCAGGGAAUAUUGUGCAAUGAGCGAAAGCUUGACACAGCGACACCGCGUGUGGGAUGACGGUUCUAGGAUUGUAAACCACUUUCAGGAGGGAAGAAAAUGACGGUACCUCCACAAGAAGACCCGGCCAACUAUGUGCCAGCAGCCGCGGUAAUACAUAGGGGUCAAGCGUUGUCCGGAUUUAUUGGGCGUAAAGAGCUCGUAGGCGGUUCAACAAGUCGGUCGUAAAAGUUUAGGGCUCAACCCUAAAAUGUCGAUCGAUACUGUUGUGACUAGGAUACGGUAGAGGUGAAUGGAAUUCCGAGUGUAGCGGUGAAAUGCGUAGAUAUUCGGAGGAACACCAAUUGCGAAGGCAGUUCACUGGACCGUGAUCGACGCUGAGGAGCGAAAGCUAGGGGAGCAAACAGGAUUAGAUACCCUGGUAGUCCUAGCUGUAAACGAUGGAUACUAGAUGUAGGAACUGGAUUGACGGUUUCUGUAUCGUAGCUA